rnacentral:rRNA from 1 species
CACGUAGGGGACGAGCGUUGUCCGGAUUCAUUGGGCGUAAAGCGCGCGUAGGCGGCUCGGAAAGUCGGGCGUGAAAUGCCGGGGCUCAACCCCGGGACUGCGUCCGAUACUUCCGAGCUGGAGGUAGGUAGGGGAGAUCGGAAUUCCUGGUGUAGCGGUGAAAUGCGCAGAUAUCAAGGAGGAACACCGGUGGCGAAGGCG